rnacentral:lncRNA from 1 species
UUUGAACUCGAAAUCCUCCUGCCUCAGCCUCCCAAGCCGCUGGGAUGACAGGCGUGAGCUACUAUGCCUGGCUACUAGGACUUGGGGACUUUAAUAUGACUCUGCUCUCUUGCCUGUGAAGGGAUGAGAAAAGAGAGGUCUUCUUAGCAAUGUUUGUUCCCACUUCUCUUCCUUGGUACUUUCUCCCAAAUCCUUCCCUCUGAUCUCUAUCCCCCGGCACCCCUGCACCACCAGGCUUCUCUGGGGUCCUUUACUCUGCUUCUCUUUCUAUACCUUUCCUGAAAAAAUGAACUAGUGAGGUCUCUGGCAGCAUCCAUCUAGCGAGGGUGUACAGGGAGGAGCUGUUGGUUCAUUCAUACUAAAGUGUGAAUGACUGAUGUGUUGGGUGUUGUUUAUAGUCGGGAGGAGGGGUGAUAACAGAGAUUCCUCCCCCUUGAAACCCUAAAUUGCUGGUGGUACACUUUUAGGCUGGUGCGUGGGGGCGGUUGGUGACCACGGGCCUGGUAACAUGGUAUGUAGGGGAGAUGCCCAUCUCCCAGACUCAGUGAAUUGAAGGCCAUUGCCUACUGGAUGUGUCUGGAGUGGGGACCAUGAGUUCCUGAGAUCAGAUGGACCUGGAAGGAGGGUGGAGAGACAGAGACGGAAGAAGAGACACAGAAAGAGGGGUACUUUGGGGAGAGGACCCCAGUGUUGAUCUUUUGUUCCCCUGAGAACCGGGGAAGAAGGGCAGGACCAGGGUGCCCGGCAAGCACCAUCCACACACGACACAGGCCCCGGCCUCGCUGGGAUCCCCAUGCUCCCCAAGGUGGGGAACCUGUCCUUCCUCCACCGCCUUCUCUGCCCGGCACUGGCUGCUCCCCGGGCUCUGGGCUGCCUGAAGCUGGUGUCAAUCAUGCCUGGACAGCCCUGGGAGGCAGACAGUCAUGGCUCCAGGAGGAGCCCCCAGACAGCUGUCCACCCACUGAAGAUCAAGUCCUGGGCUGGGAAUCCAUUUCUCUGCAGCACUCAAUCUGACUUUC